rnacentral:rRNA from 1 species
GAUGAACGCUGGCGGCGUGCUUAACACAUGCAAGUCGAACGGAAAGGCUCCUGCUUGCAGGGGUACUCGAGUGGCGAACGGGUGAGUAACACGUGGGUGAUCUGCCCUGCACUUCGGGAUAAGCCUGGGAAACUGGGUCUAAUACCGGAUAGGACGAUGGUUUGGAUGCCAUUGUGGAAAGUUUUUUCGGUUUGGGAUGAGCUCGCGGCCUAUCAGCUUGUUGGUGGGGUAAUGGCCUACUAAGGCGUCGACGGGUAGCCGGCCUGAGAGGGUGUACGGCCACAUUGGGACUGAGAUACGGCCCAGACUCCUACGGGAGGCAGCAGUGGGGAAUAUUGCACAAUGGGCGCAAGCCUGAUGCAGCGACGCCGCGUGGGGGAUGACGGCCUUCGGGUUGUAAACUCCUUUCGCUAGGGACGAAGCGCAAGUGACGGUACCUGGAGAAGAAGCACCGGCUAACUACGUG